rnacentral:rRNA from 1 species
GACGAACGCUGGCGGCGUGCCUAAUACAUGCAAGUCGAGCGGACCUCUUCGGAGGUCAGCGGCGGACGGGUGAGUAACACGUGGGCAACCUGCCUGUAAGACUGGGAUAACACCGGGAAACCGGUGCUAAUACCGGAUAAUCCUUUUCCUCACAUGAGGGGAAGCUGAAAGACGGUUUCGGCUGUCACUUACAGAUGGGCCCGCGGCGCAUUAGCUAGUUGGUGGGGUAACGGCCCACCAAGGCGACGAUGCGUAGCCGACCUGAGAGGGUGAUCGGCCACACUGGGACUGAGACACGGCCCAGACUCCUACGGGAGGCAGCAGUAGGGAAUCUUCCGCAAUGGACGAAAGCCUGACGGAGCAACGCCGCGUGAGCGAAGAAGGCCUUCGGGUCGUAAAGCUCUGUUGUCAGGGAAGAACACGUACCGGAGUAACUGCCGGUACCUUGACGGUACCUGACCAGAAAGCCACGGCUAACUACGUGCCAGCAGCCGCCGUAA